AUGAUUUUACAAUCUGUAUUCAUGGAAGAAAGGAUGGGCAUUAGGUACGGAAAGAGGAAAAACGUGAAUAGGACGAAAUGCAUGCAAAAAAUAGUCUGCAGAUGCGCGUGGAAGCCGAUAGUGGAGAACACACACUCUUGCCACUGUGACUGCCUUGCUCUCAUAAGACUGCUGCGUUUCAAAGACAACAGUUGGUACAUAGCCGAGCACCCUGAGGAGCACAACCAUAUGUUAUCUCCCACCUAUGGGCAGACAAUAAAUACACAGGCAGUCACACAAACAUAUCGAUGUGUACAAAAAUGA
rnacentral:rRNA from 1 species